rnacentral:rRNA from 1 species
ACGAACGCUGGCGGCAUGCCUAAUACAUGCAAGUCGAGCGGACUUGAAGAGAAGCUUGCUUCUCUGAUGGUUAGCGGCGGACGGGUGAGUAACACGUAGGCAACCUGCCCUCAAGUUUGGGACAACUACCGGAAACGGUAGCUAAUACCGAAUAGUUGUUUUCUUCUCCUGAAGGAAACUGGAAAGACGGAGCAAUCUGUCACUUGGGGAUGGGCCUGCGGCGCAUUAGCUAGUUGGUGGGGUAACGGCUCACCAAGGCGACGAUGCGUAGCCG